UACGUAGGGGGCGAGCGUUGUCCGGAUUUAUUGGGCGUAAAGAGCGUGUAGGCGGCCAGGUAGGUCUGCUGUGAAAACUCGAGGCUCAACCUCGAGACGUCGGCGGAAACCAUCUGGCUAGAGUCCGGAAGAGGAGAGUGGAAUUCCUGGUGUAGCGGUGAAAUGCGCAGAUAUCAGGAAGAACACCCGUGGCGAAGGCGGCUCACUGGCCCGGUACUGACGCUGAGGUGCGAAAGCGUGGGGAGCAAACAGG
rnacentral:rRNA from 1 species